rnacentral:rRNA from 1 species
GUGGGGAAUAUUGGGCAAUGGGCGAAAGCCUGACCCAGCAACGCCGCGUGAAGGAAGAAGGUUUUCGGAUCGUAAACUUCUAUCCUUGGUGAAGAUAAUGACGGUAGCCAAGAAGGAAGCCCCGGCUAACUACGUGCCAGCAGCCGCGGUAAUACGUAGGGGGCAAGCGUUGUCCGGAAUGAUUGGGCGUAAAGGGCGCGUAGGCGGCCCGGUAAGUCUGAAGUGAAAGUCCUGCUUUUAAGGUGGGAAUUGCUUUGGAUACUGUCGGGCUUGAGUGCAGGAGAGGUAAGCGGAAUUCCCGGUGUAGCGGUGAAAUGCGUAGAGAUAGGGAGGAACACCAGUGGCGAAGGCGGCUUACUGGACUGUAACUGACGCUGAGGCGCGAAAGUGUGGGGAGCAAACAGGAUUAGAAACCCUGGUAGUCC